rnacentral:rRNA from 1 species
CGCAACGGCCGCGUGGCGAGUUGGAUACACCCGAUCCCCCGAUCUCGGAAGUUAAGCAACGCGCGGUCCGGAAGGUUCUUGGAUGGGAGACCCCCAACCAAGGACAAUCGGAUUGCUGUAGCCG